CCUACGGGUGGCAGCAGUGGGGAAUAUUGGACAAUGGGGGAAACCCUGAUCCAGCGACGCCGCGUGAGUGAAGAAGUAUUUCGGUACGUAAAGCUCUAUCAGCAGGAAAGAAAAUGACGGUACCUGACUAAGAAGCCCCGGCUAACUACGUGCCAGCAGCCGCGGUAAUACGUAGGGGGCAAGCGUUAUCCGGAUUUACUGGGUGUAAAGGGAGCGUAGACGGCAGCGCAAGUCUGGAGUGAAAUGCCGGGGCUCAACCCCGGAACUGCUCUGGAAACUGUGAAGCUGGAGUGCAGGAGAGGUAGGCGGAAUUCCUGGUGUAGCGGUGAAAUGCGUAGAUAUCAGGAGGAACACCGGCGGCGAAGGCGGCUUACUGGACUGUAACUGACGUUGAGGCUCGAAGGCGUGGGGAGCAAACAGGAUUAGAUACCCCUGUAGUC
rnacentral:rRNA from 1 species